UACGUAGGGUGCGAGCGUUAAUCGGAAUUACUGGGCGUAAAGAGCUCGUAGGCGGUUUGUCGCGUCUGCUGUGAAAACUCGGGGCUUAACCCCGGACCUGCAGUGGGUACGGGCAGACUAGAGUGCGGUAGGGGAGAGUGGAAUUCCUGGUGUAGCGGUGAAAUGCGCAGAUAUCAGGAGGAACACCGGUGGCGAAGGCGGGUCUCUGGGCCGUAACUGACGCUGAGGGGCGAAAGCGUGGGGAGCGAACAGG
rnacentral:rRNA from 1 species